GCGAAAAUAGCUCAGCUGGUAGAGCGCAACCUUGCCAAGGUUGAGGUCGCGGGUUCGAGCCCCGUUUUUCGCUCAA
rnacentral:tRNA from 3 species